GACGAACGCUGGCGGCGUGCCUAAUACAUGCAAGUAGAACGCACAGUUUAUACCGUAGCUUGCUACACCAUAGACUGUGAGUUGCGAACGGGUGAGUAACGCGUAGGUAACCUGCCUGGUAGCGGGGGAUAACUAUUGGAAACGAUAGCUAAUACCGCAUAAUAUUAAUUAUUGCAUGAUAAUUAAUUGAAAGGUGCAAUUGCACCACUACCAGAUGGACCUGCGUUGCAUUAGCUAGUAGGUGAGGUAACGGCUCACCUAGGCGACGAUACAUAGCCGACCUGAGAGGGUGAUCGGCCACACUGGGACUGAGACACGGCCCAGACUCCUACGGGAGGCAGCAGUAGGGAAUCUUCGGCAAUGGACGAAAGUCUGACCGAGCAACGCCGCGUGAGUGAAGAAGGUUUUCGGAUCGUAAAGCUCUGUUGUAAGAGAAGAACGGGUGUGAGAGUGGAAAGUUCACACUGUGACGGUAUCUUACCAGAAAGGGACGGCUAACUACGU
rnacentral:rRNA from 1 species